rnacentral:tRNA from 1 species
CAGAUAAUAGUUUAACCAAAACACCGGCUUUGGGUGCCAAAAAUCACAUCCCGUGUUAUCUGAA